GAAUGUGAGGGUGAUCUGGCUGCAACCUCUGUCACCCCAUUGAUCACCAGGGUUGAUUCAACUGAUCUAGCUGGCUAGGCGGGUGUCCCCUUCCUCCCUCACCACUCCAUGUGCUUCCCUUCCGAAGCUGUCACGCUCCAUCAAAGAGAAUGCCCUUCCCAGAAUAGAGAUGGACCAGUCUUCCCUGAAAGGUAUACUAGUAGCUGUGCUCCCCUACUAGAACCUCUAAACAAGCUCUCAAGGUCCAUAGACACAUAAUAUGUUUAUACUAUACCUAUGUAUAAUAUGCAUAUCAUAUCAUGCAUAUAAACAUAGGCAUAUAUGUUUAU
rnacentral:snRNA from 1 species